GCCGGAAUAGCUCAGUCGGUAGAGMAGAGGACUGAAAAUCCUCGUGU
rnacentral:tRNA from 1 species